rnacentral:rRNA from 1 species
UACGUAGGGUGCAAGCGUUAAUCGGAAUUACUGGGCGUAAAGCGUGCGCAGGCGGUCUUGCAAGUCAGAUGUGAAAUCCCCGGGCUUAACCUGGGAACUGCAUUUGUGACUGCAAGGCUGGAGUACGGCAGAGGGGGAUGGAAUUCCGCGUGUAGCAGUGAAAUGCGUAGAUAUGCGGAGGAACACCGAUGGCGAAGGCAAUCCCCUGGGCCUGUACUGACGCUCAUGCACGAAAGCGUGGGGAGCAAACAGG